CGUGUAGGUGGUCAGGUAAGUCAGAUGUGAAAGCCUUCUGCUUAACAGAAGAAGUGCAUUUGAAACUGCUUGGCUAGAGUACGGGAGAGGAGAGUGGAAUUCCCGGUGUAGAGGUGAAAUUCGUAGAUAUCGGGAGGAACACCAGUGGCGAAGGCGGCUCUCUGGUCCGAUACUGACGCUGAGACGCGAAAGCGUGGGGAGCAAACAGGAUUAGAUACCCUGGUAGUCCACGCCGUAAACGAUGGGCACUAGGUGUAGGAGGUAUUGACCCCUUCUGUGCCGAAGCUAACGCAUUAAGUGCCCCGCCUGGGGAGUACGGCCGCAAGGCUAAAA
rnacentral:rRNA from 1 species